rnacentral:rRNA from 1 species
GAUCCUGGCUCAGGACGAACGCUGGCGGCGUGCCUAACACAUGCAAGUCGAACGGGACUUGCCCCUUCGGGGACAAGUUUAGUGGCGGACGGGUGAGUAACGCGUGAGCAACCUACCUUUCAGUGGGGGACAACAGUUGGAAACGACUGCUAAUACCGCAUAACACUUAUUUAGGGCAUCUUAAAUAAGUCAAAGAUUUAUUGCUGAGAGAUGGGCUCGCGUCUGAUUAGCUAGUUGGUGGGGUAACGGCCCACCAAGG